rnacentral:snoRNA from 1 species
GGCCGAUGACGACGACUCACUGGGCCGAGCCGGGGUGACUCCCUGUUGAUGACGAGCCCUAUGAGUGCCGAGGCC